rnacentral:rRNA from 1 species
UACGUAGGGUGCAAGCGUUAAUCGGAAUUACUGGGCGUAAAGCGUGCGCAGGCGGUUUUGUAAGUCUGUCGUGAAAUCCCCGGGCUCAACCUGGGAAUUGCGAUGGAGACUGCAAGGCUGAGAAUCUGGCAGAGGGGGGUAGAAUUCCACGUGUAGCAGUGAAAUGCGUAGAGAUGUGGAGGAACACCGAUGGCGAAGGCAGCCCCCUGGGUCAAGAUUGACGCUCAUGCA